rnacentral:rRNA from 1 species
AGUGAACGCUGGCGGUAGGCCUAACACAUGCAAGUCGAACGGCAGCACAGUAAGAGCUUGCUCUUACGGGUGGCGAGUGGCGGACGGGUGAGGAAUACAUCGGAAUCUACUUUUUCGUGGGGGAUAACGUAGGGAAACUUACGCUAAUACAGCAUACGACCUACGGGUGAAAGCAGGGGAUCUUCGGACCUUGCGCGAUUGAAUGAGCCGAUGUCGGAUUAGCUAGUUGGCGGGGUAAAGGCCGACCAAGGCGACGAACCGUAGCUGGUCUGAGAGGAUGAUCAGCCACACUGUAACUGAGACACGGUCCAGACUCCUACGGGAGGCAGCAGUGGGGAAUAUUGGACAAUGGGCGCAAGCCUGAUCCUGCCAUACCGCGUGGGUGAAGAAGGCCUUCGGGUUGUAAAGCCCUUUUGUUGGGAAAGAAAAACAGCAGGUUAAUACCCCGCUGUUCUGACGGUACCCAAAGAAUAAGCACCGGCUAACUUCGUG